ACUCUGCUCCAGGCUCUGAGCACAGGGCAGUGUCCAAGAAAGAUGUUGGUGAUUUGCAGUUAUCCACCUGCCCCACCUACCUGGAUCUAGGACAGUGGAGGCACCCAGAGCAGGUUAAAGAAGGCCGUAGCGAAUUGGACAAGAUUUUGUUAUUGCAACCUUCAGAUGAAUACCAGCCAUACCAGCUGACAGUUUAAUUGUCAUGGGGCUUCCAAAGGAGGAAACAGUUGGCUGGCUUCUUUCUAAUACAUUGGAGCUUGGGCCAGCCUCUUUGAUUGCACAGGCAAACCUGCAAGACGAGAGAUGCAGAAACACCCAUACCUCCAUGGCCUAAAAACAGAUUAGAAGACAGACGGAAGCUUGUGACCCUACAUAGCAAAAUAGCGCUGUGCUCACUGGCCCUGGAGCCCUGCACUCCGCAGCCAUGCUGAGUAGCUGAUGAGAUGCGCACCCAGCUUGAACGUCAGACGCCCCAAGGCCCUGCAGCCUCGUCUGCCUGCUGUACUGCUGCCAUUUGCACCCUGUGGGUCCUUCCUGGAGGUGGAGCGACCCCUUCCCCUCCUCUGGGCCUGGAGGAGGGAGCAACCUGACUGAUGACACCCCCCUCCCCCAAAGCUCCUUUUAGAGUGGGCUGUAGCUUAGCAACCUGCACCCCUGACAACUGAUUUACUGGAGAAAAGCUUGACUUUCUCCAAGCAGGUUUUCUUUUUCUUCCUUUCUCUUUUCUUUUCCUUCUUUUCAAACAAUCAGACCUUGACUAUGACGAGGUCCUUGUGGAUUUCUCCGGGAGAUGCUGGUUUUACCGUGCCUGGCUUGCUUGGACUCCUGCAUGGACACCAGCUUUCUCCCCAGUCUUCUAGCUUCAGGUCUGACCCCAGUCCCUCCUCCAUGUUGUAGACAGAUUACUCUUUCUAGAGUUCAGUUCUCAUAGGCUUCCUCUCUUGUUUAAAAUCCUUUGAUAGCUCCCAAGAGAAGUAUGCCUACAAGGCCACUCAGCAAUGAGCCCUGCCUAGUAAAUGUUACCCAUCCUUUGUCACGCCAUCACAUCCUCUGGAUUGGAUUUUAAUUUUUUCUUGCUUCCAGAUCCUUGAAUCUGCUGUUUCCUCUGCUUGGAAAGCCUUGCUUCUUCUUACUUACUUGUGAAAUGUUCUUCGAGAAUCAGCUUAAACAUUAGCAUCUCUGUGAACCUUCCCUGACCAGUUCCCAGGCAGAACUGACCACCCCUGUCUUUGCUUCAGAGGGUUAUGGAUGGAAUUGCCCCUUGACUGUGAACUCCUGGAGGGCAGGGAGUAGUUCUCAUCCCCCAACAUGUGGCCAGUGCCCAGCACAGUGCCUGACACAUAGGUGGUGAGCCACAUGUCACCAAAUGUGUGAGUGAGGGAUAC
ensembl:lncRNA